rnacentral:rRNA from 1 species
CCUACGGGAGGCAGCAGUAGGGAAUAUUGCUCAAUGGGGGAAACCCUGAAGCAGCAACGCCGCGUGAAGGAUGACGGUUUUCGGAUUGUAAACUUCUUUUGUUAGAGAAGAUAAUGACGGUAUCUAAGGAAUAUGCACCGGCUAACUCCGUGCCAGCAGCCGCGGUAAUACGGAGGGUGCAAGCGUUACUCGGAUUCACUGGGCGUAAAGAGCGCGUAGGCGGGAUAGCAAGUCAGAUGUGAAAUCCUAGGGCUUAACCAUAGAACUGCAUUUGAAACUGUUAGUCUAGAGUAUGGGAGAGGUAGGUGGAAUUCUUGGUGUAGGGGUAAAAUCCGUAGAGAUCAAGAGGAAUACUCAUUGCGAAGGCGACCUGCUAGAACAUAACUGACGCUGAGGCGCGAAAGCGUGGGGAGCAAACAGGAUUAGAUACCCGGGUAGUC